rnacentral:rRNA from 1 species
GACGAACGCUGGCGGCGUGCCUAAUACAUGCGAGUAGAACGCUGAAGGAGGAGCUUGCUUCUCUGGAUGAGUUGCGAACGGGUGAGUAACGCGUAGGUAACCUGCCUGGUAGUGGGGGAUAACUAUUGGAAACGAUAGCUAAUACCGCAUAAUAGCAGUUGUUGCAUGAUAACUGUUUGAAAGGUGCAAUAGCACCGCUACCAGAUGGACCUGCGUUGUAUUAGCUAGUUGGUGGGGUAACGGCUCACCAAGGCGACGAUACAUAGCCGACCUGAGAGGGUGAUCGGCCACACUGGGACUGAGACACGGCCCAGACUCCUACGGGAGGCAGCAGUAGGGAAUCUUCGGCAAUGGACGGAAGUCUGACCGAGCAACGCCGCGUGAGUGAAGAAGGUUUUCGGAUCGUAAAGCUCUGUUGUAAGAGAAGAACGAGUGUGAGAGUGGAAAGUUCACACUGUGACGGUAUCUUACCAGAAAGGGACGGCUAACUACGUG